rnacentral:rRNA from 1 species
AUGCAUUCGGGUUUGUGGUAUAAUCUAUAUCAUUAUCAUGUCGUCUACUCGCGAAGCACGCUCUACAUCCAUUGCGAGCAUGGCUAUCUCAUGAGAAUGUGUUUGUCCGAUCACACAUACAGAGUAAUAAAACUACCAGGUGUCAGUGAACUUCCGCUAAAAGGAUAUCCUGAGCACCAUUUGGGUAGAUCACUAAGAGGGGUGUAUUGCGCAAUAUCUCAUAAGAGGAGUCCGCUUCUUCAGCUUUGGCAUCUCAAUGAAUCAUGCAGUCAAAUAGAAUGGGUGCUAAACCAUGAUACCACUCUUAAGACCUUUGAACAUGAGGACUAUGCUCAACAAAUGGGUAGACAAUGGAUCUUACAGGAUGUUAACCACCGUAAGUCGUUGCCUGAGCGUAAUGGUAAUACACAUGAAAUUUACAGAGCGACAGUGGAAGAGAAAUAUGAAUGGAACUCUGACGAGGAUAACAUUCUUGACAUUGAAUAUGAUGUUGAAGAGGAUAACUUUCUUGAAGAGGGAUAUGAAGGAAAUUAUUGUUUCCUUGGGUUUCAUCCUUAUAAAGAGAUUGUCUUCUUAAUUUCAACAAGGAGAAAAACAAGAGUACUGGCAUAUGAUUGCAACAGCUCGAAAUUUCAAGACAUGGGCAAUGUGUGUUCAGCAUAUUAUAACCCGGUCUGCGGACUACCAUUUGGGGAGAUGGACUCAGCUUUCCCGUAUACGCCUUGCUGGAUAGGCGAGUUUCCAGGAAACGAAUUAGAAUCGCUAUUUGAAGAUAAGGAGCUUCGUAGGAAAAAGUCAGAAUUGGAAGAGGAAUCCAACCUUUCAUGCAUGCGCGUGUACGAGAUGCGCAAGUUCCAUGCGCGCGCCAAGAGGAUCAAGGACUCCGCCACCAUGAUUCGUCACAGACGGCACUAG